rnacentral:tRNA from 1 species
CGCGGCGCGGCCCGGCUGUCGAGCCCCGCCGCGCCGGCGCGCCCGGACGGCCCGCGCCGGCAGGGCGGCGCGUUAGACGGCCGCCGCCGCGCC